rnacentral:rRNA from 1 species
UACGUAGGGGGCGAGCGUUGUUCGGAAUUAUUGGGCGUAAAGCGCGUGUAGGCGGUUCGGUAAGGCGGAUGUGAAAACCCAUGGCUCAACCAUGGGCCGGCAUCCGCGACUGCCGGGCUGGAGUGUGGGAGGGGAGAGCGGAAUUCCUGGUGUAGCGGUGAAAUGCGUAGAUAUCGGGAGGAACACCUGUGGCGAAAGCGGCUCACUGGACCACAACUGACGCUGAGGCGCGAAAGCUAGGGGAGCAAACAGG